UAGGGGUGAAAUCUUGUAAUCCUUGAAGGACCACCAGUGGCGAAGGCGUCUCACCAGAACGGACCUGACGGCAAGGGACGAAAGCUAGGGGCACGAACCGGAUUAGAUACCCGGGUAGUCCUAGCCGUAAACGAUACUCGCUAGGUGUCGGCCACGGUGCGACCGUUGUCGGUGCCGUAGGGAAGCCGUGAAGCGAGCCACCUGGGAAGUACGGCCGCAAGGCUGAAACUUAAAGGAAUUGGCGGGGGAGCACCACAACGGGUGGAGCUUGCGGUUUAAUUGGAUUCAACGCCGGAAAUCUUACCGGGACCGACAGCAAUAUGAAGGCCAGGCUGAAGACUUUGCCGGAUUAGCUGAGAGGUGGUGCAUGGCCGUCGUCAGUUCGUACUGUGAAGCAUCCUGUUAAGUCAGGUAACGAGCGAGACCC
rnacentral:rRNA from 1 species